UCGACCUCCGCCUACAGCCGACCGACGACGCACGGUGGGAACAACUGCACCCCUUGGCCCUUGCGUGUGAGGCGCCACUAUGCCAAAAUGGUGCUACACCACCUCAUCCGCCCCAGGAAGGCAGGAAUCGAGCUCCGCCGACAAGAGAUGGACAGCCGGAGCAUCUGAGAGUUGGUGGCCAGACAUGGUGCCACCACCUCGAACCCACCUACAGUCGCAGGUUGUGGCAGAUCCAUGGAGGAAAUCGAAUACGACGCAGCCCCAGCUCCAGCAUCAACCUAGCCUUCGUGAGUGCGAGGUAAUCAGGUAGGCAUAGCGAUGUGCCUACUUGACACGAGGAGAGAAUUCAUCAAUCAGAAGUUAGCCCGCACAUAACCAUGGCUGAUAUGAGGAUCCCCUUGCUCUACUAUCCACAACAAUAAAACAUUUACCGGGCGGCUCUGCCCGUGAUAUCACGCCUCACGGCUCACGGUAGCUACAAGGUGUAAUUUUUGAUUGUAAUCUGGGGACAUAACCGCUCAAUUCCCAGAAAUGUAUUGAUUUUCUUUCUGGGAAUUUCGUUUUGGA